rnacentral:rRNA from 1 species
UACGUAGGGUGCGAGCGUUAAUCGGAAUUACUGGGCGUAAAGCGUGCGCAGGCGGUUCGUUGUGUCGGCGGUGAAAGCCCCGGGCUUAACCUGGGAAUGGCCGUUGAAACUGGCGAACUGGAGUGUGGCAGAGGGGGAUGGAAUUCCGCGUGUAGCAGUGAAAUGCGUAGAGAUGCGGAGGAACACCGAUGGCGAAGGCAGCCCCCUGGGCUAACACUGACGCUCAGGCACGAAAGCGUGGGGAGCAAACAGG